rnacentral:rRNA from 1 species
CGUGCCAGCAGCCGCGGUAAUACGGAGGGUCCAAGCGUUAAUCGGAAUUACUGGGCGUAAAGCGCGCGUAGGCGGUUUAAUAAGUUGUAUGUGAAAGCCCUGGGCUCAACCUAGGAACUGCAUGCAAAACUAUUAAGCUUGAGGACGAGAGAGGAGAGUAGAAUUUCAGGUGUAGCGGUGAAAUGCGUAGAUAUCUGAAGGAAUACCAAUGGCGAAGGCAGCUCUCUGGCUCGUUUCUGACGCUAAGGUGCGAAAGCGUGGGUAGCAAACAGGAUUAGAUACCCUGGUAGUCCACGCCGUAAACGAUGAUAACUAGCCGUUGGGCAGAUUUAACUGUUCAGUGGCACAGCUAACGCAUUAAGUUAUCCGCCUGGGGAGUACGGCCGCAAGGCUAAAACUCAAAUGAAUUGACGGGGGCCCGCACAAGUGGUGGAGCAUGUGGUUUAAUUCGAUGCAACGCGAAGAACCUUACCAACCUUUGAAAUCCAGAGAAGUCACCAGAGAUGGAGAUGUGCCUUCGGGAACUCUGUGACAGGUGUUGCAUGGCUGUCGUCAGCUCGUGUCGUGAGAUGUAUGGUUAAGUCCAGUAACGAGCGCAACCCCUAUCCUUAUUUGCCAGCGCGUAAUGGCGGGAACUAUAGGGAGACUGCCGGUCAAAAACCGGAGGAAGGCGGGGACGAGGUCAAGUCAUCAUGGCCCUUAUAGGUUGGGCUACACACGUGCUACAAUGGGAUGUACAGAGGGUUGCGAAAGCGUGAGCUGGAGCCAAACCCUUAAAGCAUUUCGUAGUCCGGAUUGGAGUCUGCAACUCGACUCCAUGAAGUCGGAAUCACUAGUAAUCGCGAAUCAGAAUGUCGCGGUGAAUACGUUCUCGGGCCUUGUACACACCGCCCGUCACAUCAUGGAAGUGGGUUGCACCAGAAGUGGUUAGUCUAACCUUA